AGUGAACGCUGGCGGUAGGCCUAACACAUGCAAGUCGAACGGCAGCACAGUAAGAGCUUGCUCUUACGGGUGGCGAGUGGCGGACGGGGGAGGAAUACACCGGAAUCUACUUUUUCGUGGGGGAUAACGUAGGGAAACUUACGCUAAUACCGCAUACGACCUACGGGUGAAAGCAGGGGAUCUUCGGACCUUGCGCGAUUGAAUGAGCCGAUGUCGGAUUAGCUAGUUGGCGGGGUAAAGGCCCACCAAGGCGACGAUCCGUAGCUGGUCUGAGAGGAUGAUCAGCCACACUGGAACUGAGACACGGUCCAGACUCCUACGGGAGGCAGCAGUGGGGAAUAUUGGACAAUGGGCGCAAGCCUGAUCCAGCCAUACCGCGUGGGUGAAGAAGGCCUUCGGGUUGUAAAGCCCUUUUGUUGGGAAAGAAAAGCAGCAGGUUAAUACCCCGCUGUUCUGACGGUACCCAAAGAAUAAGCACCGGCUAACUUCGUG
rnacentral:rRNA from 1 species